rnacentral:lncRNA from 1 species
UGUACAUUUCCAAGCUUCUCACAACAGACUCCAAAUCUGUGCUAGAAGACAAAAUGCCACAAUAAUUGUGUCACAGGAGGAGAACAGGAGAGAUCAAGGGCACUUCUAAGUCCUCCCGACUAGCAGGAGAUUUGCUGGGUGACAUUUGCAGAUGCUUCGGGACCCCGCACUGUGCUGCAGAGAAAGAUAAACAAAACCCAUCAGUCCCUGUUGAGCUAAUCUGAAAGGGGAUUGCUUCCCAGUUCCAAAUCUGGUGAUUAGCUCAGCCCUGUGCAUGCAAACAAGAACAGACAGCUGAUAGAUGCUGAUACUUCAAGGAACACCAGUGGACCUUACAUCUCUCAGUGACCAUGUUUAUGCCCUUAACUGACCCAGCAGAAGUAAAGUCCUUUGUCUUACAUUUCUGUGAAAAAAAAGAUAAAGGGGAUCAGAAAUAAGUAUAUUGUUCAAGAAAAAUGCCAGCCCUAAUUAUUAAACUAUACUGCUCUAAUUUUACUCCUAUGAUUUCCUGCGUACAAAAGAUCUUCAGUAGGAAGUUAUUUUUUCUUUAAUAAACAAAGGCUUUGCUUUGCAAUGUACUACUGAUUGGCACAGUCACUGUGUAACAUACAAAGGCAGAUCUUUAAACAAUGUGCUAUGAUCUUAUCUGAUCUGAAAGAUGGAUAAUAUAUCAUCAAUAUAAUUUGUGGCAGGGUAUUUCUAUAGAUGUGGUGAGGUGUGUUGGAAACUCCUCUGAAAUCACACAGGCAAAAAGGAGACAAUAUUACUUUAAAUAAAAGAUGCUAUCAGCUUAACAGCUCCAUGAAUAUGUGUUAUUACUAGAAUAGGAAAUCACAGUACUUAGAGCCAGCUAAGAGAAAACACGUUGGCUAUGAUUUUCUGUUACUAACAUGUUGGAUCACACAGGGAACCAGUAAUUACCUACAGAGAUUUUGAGCUGUUGUUCUCAGGUUUGUGUGUGGCUCUGUAGUUCCAUCACUUUUAUCUGAAGUCUUUUUUUUGGUACUAGAGAAAGAAGGACUUGAAGGGCUUGGCCCCAGAGAAGGAGGGCUGCUGAAGUCCUUAGUAGUUGAAAGGUGCCAUUCUGCAAACAGUCACUUCUACCACAAAACAGAGGUAUUUCCAUAUUAACUGGGUACUGUGGGACACCCUGGAGCUGGCUGUUCCAUGGCUGUUCACCUUUCAGAUCCAUGCUCCUCUGCCUUCUGAUGUACAGUACAGAAUACAUGUACUUUGCUGAAACUUAACUGAAUUACUCUUCUGUCACCCAGGCUCUGUGAUGCUAUAAAGGCUGGUUAACAUAUAUAUGAAAGCCAUGGCUCACCACUGCACUUUGUGUGACACAUGCUCUUGUCAAAGGCUUUCAUCACAAAAAAACAUUAAAAAGUCAUGACCACUACCGAAAAGAUCCAGAAACAGGACUAACAAGUAAAGAUGUCAAGAAGCGCCCUACCC